AUCCAGCUGACGAGUCCCAAAUAAAAGGAGACGAGCGUCCUGGAU
rfam:Schistosoma curassoni strain Dakar, Senegal genome assembly, scaffold: SCTD_scaffold0012933